rnacentral:rRNA from 1 species
GGACGGGUGAGUAAUGUCUGGGGAUCUGCCCGAUAGAGGGGGAUAACCACUGGAAACGGUGGCUAAUACCGCAUAACGUCGCAAGACCAAAGAGGGGGACCUUCGGGCCUCUCACUAUCGGAUGAACCCAGAUGGGAUUAGCUAGUAGGCGGGGUAACGGCCCACCUAGGCGACGAUCCCUAGCUGGUCUGAGAGGAUGACCAGCCACACUGGAACUGAGACACGGUCCAGACUCCUACGGGAGGCAGCAGUGGGGAAUAUUGCACAAUGGGCGCAAGCCUGAUGCAGCCAUGCCGCGUGUAUGAAGAAGGCCUUCGGGUUGUAAAGUACUUUCAGCGGGGAGGAAGGCGAUGUGGUUAAUAACCGCGUCGAUUGACGUUACCCGCAGAAGAAGCACCGGCUAACUCCGUGCCAGCAGCCGCGGUAAUACGGAGGGUGCAAGCGUUAAUCGGAAUUACUGGGCGUAAAGCGCACGCAGGCGGUCUGUUAAGUCAGAUGUGAAAUCCCCGGGCUUAACCUGGGAACUGCAUUUGAAACUGGCAGGCUUGAGUCUCGUAGAGGGGGGUAGAAUUCCAGGUGUAGCGGUGAAAUGCGUAGAGAUCUGGAGGAAUACCGGUGGC